rnacentral:tRNA from 1 species
UGGGGCAUAGCUCAGUGGUAGAGUGUUUGCCCAGCCAAUGCAACAUCCUGGGUUCAAUCCCCAGCACUGCAA